rnacentral:lncRNA from 1 species
UACCAUCCAAAACCCUACACGCCCUCCCACCCUUCUUUCCCUUUCCUCCUCUUCUUCUUUUUCUUCUUUCCUUCUCUGCCUUUCAGUUUUCCAAAAAUAACUUCACAUUCAAAUUCAAAAUUCAAAUUCAACUUAUUCUCAAAAUCCUAUCUCUCUCUUACACUGCACACUUUCCUCUUUCCUUUCUAUUGCUUCAAAUUCAGCCAAACUCCUAUCCCAAUCAUCUUCUGUAUGGCGAACCUAUACGAUCGAUCAGGUAAACAACCGUUCGAUCAUUUGUGUUCUUCCUUCAACAACGACUGGAAACCUUUCGACGAACACUGGCGACGGUGCCGGAAUACUCUCCUGUCUCUCACAUGACUUCUACAAGCAGCUUAUAUUGAACUUAUUGGUUUGAUUGUGGAGUGGUGGGGAUUAUGGUCUCUGGGUAAUCGGAUGGAUUAAAGCUUAAGUUAAUUGUCAUUUAGGAGUUGUUAGCCUCACGACAACAGUAUUUCUUUUCAAAGUGUUGGUUGAUGGAUGGCUAGGCUUUUGAGCAGUUGUGCGGCGGCAGUAUGGAGUUGGUAUAAGGGCUCACUAGGUUGAACAGAGGUUGUGAUUCAACACUGCCAGCUGCCACACAAAAUUUCUUAGUUGGUGCUCAUAGAUAAGAUCGACAAGAGUAGGUUUGUGUUUUACGUGCAUUUUGUUUGAGCUUAACUUUAUUGCUAUUGGUUUGAAAUUAUAAUUGUAAUUAAUGAAUGAGUGCUGCUAAAUUGAUUACGUUUUAAGUGUAAACAAAUGGUUUAGCUGGCACUUAUAAUUUUUUAUAUCAGUUGUUAAUGUAUGUUAUGUCGUUUUCCCUCAAAGCCUUGCCUUGAAGAGCUUACAUCUAGAUGAUGGCAUCGAAGCUACAUCUCUCUAGGAUCACCCUACUUCCUCCAAAACCAGUGAGCUAUAUUUGUUAAUCACUUUUUGUAUUCAAUUUUAGUGAUCAUAAGUAAAUGAAAUUAGUUUCGCUAGCUUUUAUUCGUUGAUGAACUUUUCAGGCGUUUUAGGC